rnacentral:rRNA from 1 species
UCCGUAGGUGAACCUGCUGAAGGAUCAUUGAUAAUGUGCUUGAUAUUUCUGCUUGUCGUGUCUGACUGUGCUUAGUGCAUGGGGAAUUAAUAUAUUAAUAUCACCCAUGGACUAUUCUACCAAAUUAUUACAACUGUGAACAAUGGAUCUCUGGGCUCUUGCAUCGACGAAGAACGCAGCAAAGUGCGAAACAUAGUGCGAUCUGCACGAACCUGCGAGUCACCAAGUCUUUGAACGCAUCUUGCGCUCCCCGGAGCAUGUUCCCUUGAGCCGGGCCAACAUUAUUAGUGAGCAUAUCUUUCGAUAUUCUCACUGCGCUGGGACGUGCUUGUCUGUCCUGAAAUGUGUGCUCGUCGGCAGUCUGAGCCAGGUGUGAUGUUAGGGUGACGGGUCGCAAUCGGAUUGUCAUGAUCUGAGCGCAAUCAACCACCCUAGCUAUCUCCUUCAGACUAACCCUGACACCCAUCUAUCCCGCUCAAGUGGAGCAGGACCACCCGCUGGGGGACUUAAGGGCAUAUCAAUAAGGCGGGAGGGAAGGUCGGACUGCCAAGGGGGCACACAGGGGGGGG